rnacentral:rRNA from 1 species
GACGAACGCUGGCGGCGUGCCUAAUACAUGCAAGUCGAACGAGAGCAACCGGUGCUUGCACUGGUCAAUCUAGUGGCGAACGGGUGAGUAACACGUGGGUAACCUGCCCAUCAGAGGGGGAUAACAUCCGGAAACGGAUGCUAAAACCGCAUAGGUCUUCGAGCCGCAUGGCUUGAAGAGGAAAAGAGGCGCAAGCUUCUGCUGAUGGAUGGACCCGCGGUGCAUUAGCUAGUUGGUGGGGUAACGGCUCACCAAGGCCGUGAUGCAUAGCCGACCUGAGAGGGUGAUCGGCCACAUUGGGACUGAGACACGGCCCAAACUCCUACGGGAGGCAGCAGUAGGGAAUCUUCCGCAAUGGACGCAAGUCUGACGGAGCAACGCCGCGUGAGUGAAGAAGGUUUUCGGAUCGUAAAACUCUGUUGUUAGAGAAGAACAAGUGCUAGAGUAACUGUUAGCGCCUUGACGGUAUCUAACCAGAAAGCCACGGCUAACUACGUG